CACAUUGUGUUUUCAAGCAGGCAGAUCCAUUUUCUGCCACCGAAUACAUUAGCAUGGGAUAAUGGAAUAGGACCCUGUCCUCCUAUUUUCAGUUGGUUUUGGCAGCGCGAGGACUAGGGUAAUGAUUAAUAGGGAUAGUUGGGGGCAUUAAUAUUUAAUUGUCAGAGGUGAAAUUCUUGGAUUUAUGAAAGAUUAACUUCUGCGAAAGCAUCUGCCAAGGAUGUUUUCAUUAAUCAAGAACGAAAGUUAGGGGAUCGAAGACGAUCAGAUACCGUCGUAGUCUUAACCAUAAACGAUGCCGACCAGCGAUUAGGAGACGUUGAAUACAAAACACCACCAUCGGUUGCGGUCGUCCUUGGCGUCUCGGUUUCGGCCGGGGCGCGGGGACGGUUUAGCCCGGUGGCACCGGUGAAUGACUCCCUAGCAGCUUGUGAGAA
rnacentral:rRNA from 1 species